UCAUAUUGAACGCUGGCGGCAGGCCUAACACAUGCAAGUCGAACGGUAACAGGAAGCAGCUUGCUGCUUUGCUGACGAGUGGCGGACGGGUGAGUAAUGUCUGGGAAACUGCCCGAUGGAGGGGGAUAACUACUGGAAACGGUAGCUAAUACCGCAUAACGUCGCAAGACCAAAGAGGGGGACCUUAGGGCCUCUUGCCAUCGGAUGUGCCCAGAUGGGAUUAGCUAGUAGGUGGGGUAAUGGCUCACCUAGGCGACGAUCCCUAGCUGGUCUGAGAGGAUGACCAGCCACACUGGAACUGAGACACGGUCCAGACUCCUACGGGAGGCAGCAGUGGGGAAUAUUGCACAAUGGGCGCAAGCCUGAUGCAGCCAUGCCGCGUGUAUGAAGAAGGCCUUCGGGUUGUAAAGUACUUUCAGCGGGGAGGAAGGGAGUAAAGUUAAUACCUUUGCUCAUUGACGUUACCCGCAGAAGAAGCACCGGCUAACUCCGUGCCAGCAGCCGCGGUAAUACGGAGGGUGCAAGCGUUAAUCGGAAUUACUGGGCGUAAAGCGCACGCAGGCGGUUUGUUAAGUCAGAUGUGAAAUCCCCGGGCUCAACCUGGGAACUGCAUCUGAUACUGGCAAGCUUGAGUCUCGUAGAGGGGGGUAGAAUUCCAGGUGUAGCGGUGAAAUGCGUAGAGAUCUGGAGGAAUACCGGUGGCGAAGGCGGCCCCCUGGACGAAGACUGACGCUCAGGUGCGAAAGCGUGGGGGAGCAAACAGGAUUAGAUACCCUGGUAGUCCACGCCGUAAACGAUGUCGACUUGGAGGUUGUGCCCUUGAGGCGUGGCUUCCGGAGCUAACGCGUUAAGUCGACCGCCUGGGGAGUACGGCCGCAAGGUUAAAACUCAAAUGAAUUGACGGGGGCCCGCACAAGCGGUGGAGCAUGUGGUUUAAUUCGAUGCAACGCGAAGAACCUUACCUGGUCUUGACAUCCACGGAAGUUUUCAGAGAUGAGAAUGUGCCUUCGGGAACCGUGAGACAGGUGCUGCAUGGCUGUCGUCAGCUCGUGUUGUGAAAUGUUGGGUUAAGUCCCGCAACGAGCGCAACCCUUAUCCUUUGUUGCCAGCGGUCCGGCCGGGAACUCAAAGGAGACUGCCAGUGAUAAACUGGAGGAAGGUGGGGAUGACGUCAAGUCAUCAUGGCCCUUACGACCAGGGCUACACACGUGCUACAAUGGCGCAUACAAAGAGAAGCGACCUCGCGAGAGCAAGCGGACCUCAUAAAGUGCGUCGUAGUCCGGAUUGGAGUCUGCAACUCGACUCCAUGAAGUCGGAAUCGCUAGUAAUCGUGGAUCAGAAUGCCACGGUGAAUACGUUCCCGGGCCUUGUACACACCGCCCGUCACACCAUGGGAGUGGGUUGCAAAAGAAGUAGGUAGCUUAACCUUCGGGAGGGCGCUUACCACUUUGUGAUUC
rnacentral:rRNA from 1 species